GACGAGGGAUCCUAGCGUUGCUCGGAAUCAUUGGGCGUAAAGCGGGUGUAGGUGGCUUAGCAAGUCGGGUGUGAAAGCCCAGGGCUUAACCCUGGAAGUGCAUUCGAUACUGCUGAGCUUGAGUGCGAGAGAGGUUAAUAGAAUACCUGGUGUAGUGGUGAAAUACGUAGAUAUCAGGUGGAACACCGGAGGCGAAGGCGGUUAACUGGCUCGACACUGACACUGAGACCCGAAAGUGCGGGGAUCAAACAGG
rnacentral:rRNA from 1 species